rnacentral:rRNA from 1 species
UAGGGAAUCUUGCGCAAUGGGGGAAACCCUGACGCAGCGACGCCGCGUGCGGGAUGAAGGCCUUCGGGUUGUAAACCGCUUUCAGCAGGGACGAAAUUGACGGUACCUGCAGAAGAAGGCCCGGCCAACUACGUGCCAGCAGCCGCGGUAAUACGUAGGGGCCUAGCGUUGUCCGGAUUUAUUGGGCGUAAAGAGCUCGUAGGCGGUUCGGUAAGUCAGGUGUGAAAUCUCCACGCUCAACGUGGAGGCGCCACCUGAAACUGCCGUGACUCGAGUCCGGUAGGGGAGUGUGGAAUUCCCGGUGUAGCGGUGAAAUGCGCAGAUAUCGGGAGGAACACCAGUGACGAAGGCGGCACUCUGGGCCGGUACUGACGCUGAGGAGCGAAAGCGUGGGGAGCGAACAGG